rnacentral:rRNA from 1 species
UACGUAGGGUGCGAGCGUUAAUCGGAAUUACUGGGCGUAAAGCGUGCGCAGGCGGCUUCGCAAGUCAGACGUGAAAUCCCCCGGGCUUAACCUGGGGAAUGGCGUUUGAAACUACGGAGCUGGAGUGUGGCAGAGGGGAGGUAGAAUUCCACGUGUAGCGGUGAAAUGCGUAGAUAUGUGGAGGAAUACCGAUGGCGAAGGCAGCCUCCUGGGCCAACACUGACGCUCAUGCACGAAGCGUGGGGAGCAAACAGG